AUGCCACCUGGUGUGCAAAGGGUCCUAAGGUAUAUGUUAUCCACCAUUGGUAUUGACCCAUUAGAAUAUUUGAUUCCCGUGAGGGGCGGCGACCCAUGCUGGACGUGUGAUGAGGGGAGUGUUGUUGAUGCGACCUGGCGGACAGAUAUCAAGGGUGAUGUUGAGGCCGGCGGUGAAAUAAAUGGCCAAAUGGGGCUCCUCAAUGCAAGUGAGAAGGCUGAUUGA
rnacentral:rRNA from 1 species